rnacentral:rRNA from 1 species
GAAAGGUUAAUCACAAAAUAACUGGUUAAGGAAUUAAAAUAUUUAAAAAGGCAUUUAAUAGAGUAUUUGGUAAAUUAAAAUUUAGGGACGUUUCGAAUCGAAAAUUACAAUGAAGUUUACACUUGUGAUUUGUAAAUUUCCUUGUUAAAAAACUAUAAAUUAAAAAUUUUGUGAAGUGAAUCAUCUUACUAACAAAUUAAGAAAAUCAAACGAAAAUUUAUUAGUAGCGGUGAGCGAACUAAAAAAACUAUUUUUUUUUAGCUAAUUAAAUUUUAAUAAGGUAAAAAUCCUGUUAAUUAAUUAUAAAAAAAAUCAAAAAAGUAAAAGUGGAAAUUUAAAACCUCAAGAAUAAAGGAGUGCCACCUUCUAAGUUUUAAAAAUAAUUUAACCAAUAGUAAAAGAGUACUGUAAAAAAAAAUUGAAAAAAAUUGAAAAAAAUUGAAAAAAAUUGAAUGUCUAAAAAUUACUUGAAGUAAAAAUUAUACGACAAGAUGCUUUUUGCAGAACGAACCAACAAGUUAAAAAUUAUAGCAAAAAAUAAAAUAAAAGGUAAAUAAAUUAAAAAGUUAUAAUUAUUAAACCUGAAACCAAGUGAUCUAAUUAUGGAUAAGUUGAUUUUAAUAUAACAAUUAAAUAAAGACUGAACUUUAAUAUGUAGCAAAAUAUAAAGAAAAUUUGUAAUUAGGAGUGAAAGUCUAAUCAAACUUGGUUAUAGCCGGUUUUUCACGAAAUGUAUUUUAGUACAGCAUUAAUUUUUAUUUAUUAAAGUAAAGUAAAAUAAUUUUUAAAAUAAUUUUUAACUUUCAAAUUUAAUUAAUAAAAAAUUAUAGUCAGUUUAAAGGCGAUAAGGUCUUUAAACUAAAGGAAAACAAUCCAGAUUGUUUUGUUAAGGUAUUAAAUUAUAGUUUAGGAAAAGAUUAUUUAAAAUUUAAAUAUAAAAAUAGACUUAGAAGCAGUUUUUUAUUAGAGAAAGCGUUUUAGCUCAGUAUUUUUUUUUAAAUAAUUAAAAAUUUUCGAUAUUAAAUUAUAAACCGAAACAGCAAAUAUAUUAUUAUCAAUUUAAUGUAAGGUAGUGAAACGUUUUGUAAGCAAAAUAUUUAAAAAGAAAAAUCAAUAAAAUAAUAUUUUCUUAAAUAAACAAAAUCGAUAAUGUUGGUAUGAGUAACGAAAAAUUAUGUUUAAUCAUAAUCAUUUAAAAGUAGGUUUUCAAUGUAAUUUUAAAUUCAUUGAGUGAGUCGGUUCCUAAGAAACAACUGAAAAGUUUAUUUUGAUGGAAAAAGUUUAAAAAUUCUAAUUGUGUUGUUACUAAAAAAAAAAAAAUUAAUUUUUUUAAAUAUUAAAAAUAAAAAUUAAUUUUUAUUUUCGAGAAAAAAUCAAUUAAAAAAACCGUACUAAACCCGACGCUGGUCUUAAAAAUUAUGUUUGAAUUAAUUAUAUUAAAGGAACUUGGCAAAUUUUUUCUGUAUGUUAGCUAUAAAGAAAACCUAAAUAAUAUUUUUAGGUAACAUAAUAAAAAAGCAACGACUGGUUAACAAAACCACAGAACUCUGCAAAUUUUUAAAAAGAAGUAUAGAGUUUGAAGCCUGCCCGGUGCUUAAAUACGAAAUUUUUAUUAAUAACAAGUAAAAUAUAAGUUUAAGUAAACGGCGGUUCUAACUAUAAGAAUCCUUAGGUAGCGAAAUUCCUUGGCGGGUAAAUUCCGUCCUGCAUGAAUGGCUUAACGAUUGCUUUACUGUCUCUAAUAUAAAUUCAGUGAAAUUACAAUAUUCAUGAAAAUGUGAAUUACUUACAAUAAGACGGAAAGACCCUAGAUCCUUUACUUUUAUUUUAUAUUACAAACAGUUAUUAUUAAAUUCAGUGUAAAUGGAAGUUAAUAACUAAAAUGAAAUACCAUUUUCUUAAUAAUUUUUUGUUUAAUUUUAUUUUCAAAAACAGUGUAAAAAAGAAAGUUUACUUGGGACGAGUACCUCCUAAAAAGUAACGGAGGUGUGCAAAGGUAAAAAAUUAGUUCUAUAAUAAGUUAAUUUUGCUUGACAAUUAAAUUAAUAAAUUAAAUUGGGACGAAAGUCAGUUAUAGUGACCCAAAUUUAAGAGUGGAAUUAAAUUUGUUCAACAGCUAAAAGGAACUCUAGGGAUAACAGAUUCAUCAUGAUUAAAAGUUCAUAUUAAAAUCAUGGUUUGAUACCUCGAUGUCGACUCAUCUUAUCCUGAAAUUGAAAACGAUUUCAAGGGUCUAGUUGUUCGCUAGUUAAAAAGGUACGUGAGUUGGGUUCAGAACGUCGUGAGACAGUUCGGUCCCUAUCUAUUGUAAGAAAAAAAAAUUUAAAGAAUUAUUUUUAGUACGAGAGGACCAAAAUAUAUUAACCAAUGGUGAAUUGAUUUAAACUUAAUUUAAAAGUCAAGUAGCUACGUUAGUUUAAUUUAAAUACUGAAAAAAUCAAUAGUAUAAAAAUAACUUUUAAUAUUUUUUAGAACAUUCUUUUCGAAAAAAAGAUAGAUCGAUUUAUUUUUUAUUUUUAGUAAUAAAAAAAUUAUAAAUACGAAUUAGUCAAAAAAUUAAUUAACUUAAUCAA